rnacentral:rRNA from 1 species
GAGUUUGAUCUUGGCUCAGGAUGAACGCUGGCGGCGUGCCUAAUACAUGCAAGUCGAGCGAACGGACGAGAAGCUUGCUUCUCUGAUGUUAGCGGCGGACGGGUGAGUAACACGUGGAUAACCUACCUAUAAGACUGGGAUAACUUCGGGAAACCGGAGCUAAUACCGGAUGAUAUUUUGAACCGCAUGGUUCAAAAGUGAAAGACGGUCUUGCUGUCACUUAUAGAUGGAUCCGCGCUGCAUUAGCUAGUUGGUAAGGUAACGGCUUACCAAGGCAACGAUGCAUAGCCGACCUGAGAGGGUGAUCGGCCACACUGGAACUGAGACACGGUCCAGACUCCUACGGGAGGCAGCAGUAGGGAAUCUUCCGCAAUGGGCGAAAGCCUGACGGAGCAACGCCGCGUGAGUGAUGAGGGUCUUCGGAUCGUAAAACUCUGUUAUUAGGAAGAACAUAUGUGUAAGUAACUGUGCACAUCUUGACGGUACCUAAUCAGAAAGCCACGGCUAACUAC